rnacentral:tRNA from 1 species
GGGUAUGUAGCUUUAAAGUCUUAACUUUGCAAAAGUUAAUGUGAGACUAUUUUGGUCUCUAUGCCUU